CAUCGACUUAAACUUUGGUAAAAUUCAGAAAUAUUAACACCUUAUAUUUAAACUUUGAAGAUAUCUUUGUCUAUGAGUUUUGGGACGUACUUGAAAUUUGAUUUGCUGUUAUUCUCAUGGACAAGAAGUAAUCAGUCGUUCAAAGAUGGCAUGUGAAUACUUUGAAUGUCAUCUAAUGAUUCGAUCUCUUCACAGAUCAUGAUAGUUAGCAAUUAACAUUUGGAUUUCCUAUAGUAUGAUUUCAGAAAAUAAUUGGUUUCCAAUAAUAAAUAACUGAAGGCAAUGCUGUCAUUUAAUAGAAGGUUAUAGUAAAUUAAAAUUUGUCAUGCAUUAGACUAUUGUAACAUUUUAGUUUUGGUGUCAAAGUGAGCCUGACCAAGUGAUAUUGGCAUGGAUUUUCUCUCUCAAGAGGUCGGCGGUGUUCAAUCUCCCACUCCCGCAAUUGUGAUGGAGCCAUUGAAAUAAGAAAUUCCACCUAAUCGAAUUAUUUGGUGGGUAAACAGUAGCAUUAGGUCUAUCAAGUUCACUCAAUUAGUACACACAUUGUUCUCUUCUAUAUUUUAUUAUAGCUUUAUUAUUUUAGAUAGAUAUUCUUGAGGUUAAGAAGUUUAAAGUUCUCAAUAUAAUAUCUUUAACACAAUCUUAGUUCAUACCUACAAAUUGUCACAAAAGUUAAAUAACAUUAAAGUUGGCUAUUUCUUUAAAACACUAAAAUGGAUUAGUUUGAACGUAACUAAAAUGGAUUAAUGUGAACGUAAGUAAAUAAUUAAAAUGGCCAAUCGAAGUUUAAAUCCUAAUCAUUAGCUCGAUAGUUAAGGUAAUAGAGUAACAUAUAGUUAAGGUAAUAAAGUAACAUAUGACCUUAUCUAAUUGGACUUUUUUUCUUAAUCAAAAUUAAAAAAAAAAAAAUCAAGAAUCGAAACAAUCAUUUUUAUUCACAUUAAUUUGGGUUUUGUCUUUACAAAAUCGAUUAAUUCGAUUUGGUUCUAAAACUAAAUUGGCUAUUAUGAUAAUGUUUGAAUAUAUUGAAAUAUGAAUCACAAUGGAAUGAAAUUACAAAAUAAACUAAGUAAUUCAUGAUCUUUGGAUUCCAAAAGUCACUCUCAAACUCAAAUUCACUCCUCAAAUAUUACCUCAUUACUCACUUCCUCUCCCUCUCUAUUUAUAAUAAAAAAUCACAACUUUGCUAAUUAAUUAUUAACAUGCCCUAAAAAUCUCAAAUAACAUUCCCAUCAUUUUACCCUACAUAGUAUAGAUACGUAGAUCGAUAAAUAUAAGGAUAAAAUUGUCAUUAUAAGAAGUUUGUGAGGGCAAAUGUGAGACAUGGAGAGGAUAAAUUUGCAAAUUUUUGAAACUAUAAAUAUGACAUCGAGCUAUAAAGCAUUCCCGCGCGUAGUACCAUCUUCUUCACCUCAAAAAAAAAUUCAAAACUUCCCGAAGAAAAAACCUAAUGCAAGCAACUUCUCUUUCAAAAUCUUUCUAGAAUUUCGCAAACGAUCAUGGCUUCUUCUCCAGAAUUCCAUGAACCAACAACCCCCAACAGCGGCGGCGCUUCAGUUUCUUACUUCCAGAAAACAGGGACAACCUGUUCGAAUAUUUUCUUCUGCUCCCAUUGUUAAGAGAUACGAUGUUUUCACUCUGGAGACUGCUGAUGGAAUCUGUGUUAUUCUUAAGGGUUUCAUAAACAAACUGCGUACUGCUGAUAAUGGGUUCACGCCGCAGGUUUUCAAGCAUUUUGUAUUUGGGUUUCCUCCCAACUGGGAAAAUCAUGCAGCAAAUUGCUUUGAGGGAGAAGCUUCUAAGAGUAUUGCUGCUGGGGGAAAUAUUUCUGAUACAGACAAUUCGCCCUGUACAUCAAAAAGUAAUAAUGAUGCUGACAUGAACAACUGUACUCUCACCAAUAUGAGUUCUCCUUUGUGUGAGAUUUCUCCAAGUCAUGGAUGGGAUCAUGGAGAUUCUGUGGCCGAAGAUAAGAUGCAGAGAACAAGUGCAACUGAUAUUCCAGCACCUUUCACUGUCGCUGAUAUUCAAAAUGAAGUUGAAAACAAAGGAACAAAAGAGACAGAAUCUCGGAAGAAAGUCGAGAAGAAAAUUAUUUUUGAUUCACCUAUGAAAACUCAUAAAAUGUGUAUGGAUGGUGGUUAUUGAUUCAGGGAAGUAGUGGUAUUAGUAUGAAUACAAGGGGAAGAAAGGAGAAGAAAUGUAUAAUAUCUCCAGAAUGUAGGAGUUAUGGGCGAUCACGAUCAGGGCGAUUACUUCUGCCGACAAUGGAGUUUUGGCGCAACCAAUUACCUGUUUAC